AACAAGCAAUACCAACGUGAAUCCCUGCAAAUGAAAAUAAGAUGAUAAACAAUAGAUUAUGGAUUUGUGUAGAAGAAGUAUUUAGUGAUCACCCCACCUGGCCUUGGUUAACAUAGAUUGAAAAAAAAAAGGCACGACUUCUACUGUAUGAAUAACCAAAACAGGUCGGGACAGGAAAGCAAUAGUCAGUAUAAAUCUUUAAGGGGAUUGUCAUUUACUCCAAAUAGAAAGAGACCUCUGUUGUUUACAGACAAAUCAGAAAAAUAAGAACAGCAUAAUCACUCAAAUACACAAAGCAAUGUCUUCAACAGGACAUGCAGCCAUGGAAUGAAAUAACGGUAUUUACAGGAGUUUUCAACUACUGUUACCGAUAUAGCCGUUAUUUAACGGCGAAAAAAA
rnacentral:misc_RNA from 1 species